rnacentral:lncRNA from 1 species
UGAAUGGGAAUAAAUAUAAUAAAACUUUUUAGCUGGAAAGACAACAAAUAUUUUAUGAAAAAAAAAUUAAAAUUUUGGUCUCCAUAAGAUAUUUGAUGCUAGUAGUUGCAUGCACUUUGAUUGCUUUCCAUGAAAUAUUUUUGUUAAUAAUUAUCCCUACAAAAUAGCAUUACACUUUUUUUCAGAACAAAAUUUUUUUCAGCUACAAAGACAACAAAAUACAAAAUAUAUAUUGUUAUUGUUUGGUUUAGAUUGCUUGAUGAGAAUGUUUGGUUCCACAUCCCUUGUUCUGCAUCUAUCUCAGUUGUAAAUACUCCUGCCAUUCAUUCAUUAAUCAAUUGGGACAAUAAUAAUAAUAAUUGAAACCAUAUAAAAAAAAUCAUAAUAGUUGCGUAAGAUGAAUGAAAAAGAAAACAUAAAAGUAAAACAAACAUGGAGAAUAUGAUGGAAGUACCUGUAUCUUCUUCAAAAACUUCUUUACUCGUGUUUUAUACACAACUACCAACUAACAUGAGAAAAAUUUGUUCCUUUGAGUUGUGAUAAAUAAAGAUGUGGGCAGCAGAGAUUAUAAAUAUGAGAAAAUAGAGAACAAAUGAGGAAAAAAGAAGAAAAAA